rnacentral:lncRNA from 1 species
GUGGCACGGUUGCAGGGUGACCCCUGGGGACGUCCGCCGCGAGCCAGACCUGGUCUCCUGGGGGUCCCGGCGUCGAAACAGGCGCCACAUGACCGGGGGAACCGGCCGGAGCCUGGGGGCACCCUGGGGCUCAUCGCGCAGUCCUAGAGCCUGGAGCAGGGCGGCGGCUGGGCCUGGGGGCACGGGGGCGCGGGUCAGGGGCAGCGAGGGCAGCAGCAGGGCCAGGAGGAGGAGGAGGUGGUGGCCGCAGGGACCUUGCUGCGGCGGUGGCAUCUUCCUCCCAGGCGAUGACCAGAGAGUGCGCAGGGUCCGCGGCGGCCCGGGACCAGUGGGCUGAGGGCGGGGCCGGUGUCCCCGGAGGGGCAGGGGUCCUGGGGGGCGUGGCCGGGAACUGGAGGCAGGAUGAGGGGGCGGGGUCCCAGGGGAGGUGGCGGCGGCCCUAGAGGAGCAGAGUUGGAGGGGGUGGAGGGGCGGCCAAGGACGGGGAGCGUGGCCGGGGUAUUCGGGGUGGGGCCGGGUCCACGGGGGCGGGGCCGAGGGGUUCAGAAGCGCUUGUCCUUCACCAGGCCGUUCCUCAGUGGCUUCCGGCUUUGCUGGGCUUCAGGCUCUGGGCCUCGGCUGUGUCAUACUCCCGCAGGUCCUUCAGCUCGUGCACCUGGCCUGUCAACACCUUGGCUGCAAACGCCACGAUGUACUGCGAGAGG